rnacentral:rRNA from 2 species
AGUGAAGCGGGAUGAGCUCAAAUUUAAAAUCUGGCUGGUUUACUAGUCCGAAUUGUAGUUUAUAGAAGCGUUUUCGGUGGCAGCCUGGGUAUAAAUCCUUUGGAAUAGGGUAUCAUAGAGGGUGAGAAUCCCGUCUUUGACUCAGUGCAUGCUACUAUGUGAUACGUUUUCAAAGAGUCGAGUUGUUUGGGAAUGCAGCUCAAAAUGGGUGGUAAAUUUCAUCUAAGGCUAAAUAUUGGCGAGAGACCGAUAGCGAACAAGUACCGUGAGGGAAAGAUGAAAAGAACUUUGAAAAGAGAGUUAAACAGUGCGUGAAAUUGUUGAAAGGGAAACGUUUGACACCAGUUAUGCGGGUGGAAAAUCAGUCUUUUGCAAUGGCGAGAUGUGGGCGUUCAGACCGCAAGGCUGGCGUUUGUUUCAUCGUUGUUGUAAGUGAUGCACUUUUCCAUUUGCAGGUCAACAUCAGUUUGCUCUGCUGGACAAAACCCUAAGGGAAGGUAGCAGCUUAGGCUGUGUUAUAGCCCUGGGGCGAUACAGUGGAGUGGACUGAGGUUUUCGCAGCGUGUGCUCUCGGGCAAGGCCAACUGGGUGCUAUGGGAUCGUUUGGUGUACAAUGCAUGCAUUUUGCGCCAUGUCUUUUUCAUACUCGCUCAACUUGGCUCUUCCACGCUUAGGAUGUUGACUUAAUGGUUUUAAACGACC